rnacentral:rRNA from 1 species
UACGAAGGGGGCUAGCGUUGUUCGGAAUUACUGGGCGUAAAGAGCUUGUAGGCGGUUUGUCGCGUCGUUUGUGAAAACUCGGGGCUUAACCCCGAGCCUGCAGUGGAUACGGGCAGACUAGAGGUAGGUAGGGGAGAAUGGAAUUCCCGGUGUAGCGGUGAAAUGCGCAGAUAUCGGGAAGAACACCCGUGGCGAAGGCGGCUCUCUGGGACGGUACUGACGCUGAGACGCGAAAGCGUGGGGAGCGAACAGG